UUAACACAUGCAAGUCGAACGAUGAAGCCCUUCGGGGUGGAUUAGUGGCGAACGGGUGAGUAACACGUGGGCAAUCUGCCCUUCACUCUGGGACAAGCCCUGGAAACGGGGUCUAAUACCGGAUAACACCUGCCUGGGCAUCUGGGUGGGUUAAAAGCUCCGGCGGUGAAGGAUGAGCCCGCGGCCUAUCAGCUUGUUGGUGAGGUAGUGGCUCACCAAGGCGACGACGGGUAGCCGGCCUGAGAGGGCGACCGGCCACACUGGGACUGAGACACGGCCCAGACUCCUACGGGAGGCAGCAGUGGGGAAUAUUGCACAAUGGGCGAAAGCCUGAUGCAGCGACGCCGCGUGAGGGAUGACGGCCUUCGGGUUGUAAACCUCUUUCAGCAGGGAAGAAGCGAGAGUGACGGUACCUGCAGAAGAAGCGCCGGCUAACUACGUGCCAGCAGCCGCGGUAAUACGUAGGGCGCAAGCGUUGUCCGGAAUUAUUGGGCGUAAAGAGCUCGUAGGCGGCUUGUCACGUCGGGUGUGAAAGCCCGGGGCUUAACCCCGGGUCUGCAUUCGAUACGGGCUAGCUAGAGUGUGGUAGGGGAGAUCGGAAUUCCUGGUGUAGCGGUGAAAUGCGCAGAUAUCAGGAGGAACACCGGUGGCGAAGGCGGAUCUCUGGGCCAUUACUGACGCUGAGGAGCGAAAGCGUGGGGAGCGAACAGGAUUAGAUACCCUGGUAGUCCACGCCGUAAACGGUGGGAACUAGGUGUUGGCGACAUUCCACGUCGUCGGUGCCGCAGCUAA
rnacentral:rRNA from 1 species